AUUACACUCCCUUCGUCUGAAAAUACUUGUCAGAUAAAUAGAUAAAAAUGGAUGUAUCUAGAACUAGAUACAUCCAUCACUCCGACAAGUAUUUCCGGACGGAGGGAGUAUUAG
rfam:Hordeum vulgare subsp. vulgare, WGS project CAJW01000000 data, contig: morex_contig_83481